rnacentral:rRNA from 1 species
CGGUAUAUCGUGCGCGUGUGACUCACAGACAUGAAAGUAGAACGCUGAAGAGAGGAGCUUGCUCUUCUUGGAUGAGUUGCGAACGGUUGAGUAACGCGUAGGUAACCUGCCUUGUAGCGGGGGAUAACUAUUGGAAACGAUAGCUAAUACCGCAUAACAAUGGAUGACACAUGUCAUUUAUUUGAAAGGGGCAAUUGCUCCACUACAAGAUGGACCUGCGUUGUAUUAGCUAGUAGGUGAGGUAACGGCUCACCUAGGCGACGAUACAUAGCCGACCUGAGAGGGUGAUCGGCCACACUGGGACUGAGACACGGCCCAGACUCCUACGGGAGGCAGCAGUAGGGAAUCUUCGGCAAUGGGUGCUAUCCUGACCGAGCAACGCCGCGUGAGUGAAGAACGUUUUCGGAUCGUAAAGCUCUGUUGUAAGUCAAGAACGAGUGUGAGAGUGGAAAGUUCACACUGUGACGGUAGCUUACCAGAAAGGGACGGCUAACUACGUGCCAGCAGCCGCGUUAAUACGUAGGUCCCGAGCGUUGUCCGGAUUUAUUGGGCGUAAAGCGAGCGCAGGGGGUUUGAUAAGUCUGAAGUUAAAGGCUGUGC